rnacentral:sRNA from 1 species
UACAUUAAGUUAGCUCACUCAAGGGAGUCUUGCUCAUCCCCUAUUGAAAGGGGGUGAUGCUUAUGUCAACAUUUCAAGCAUUAAUGUUAAUGCUUGCAUUCGGGUCAUUUAUAAUUGCCCUGUUGACGUAUAUAAAUAAAAAAUAGACCCUCCCUUGAGCUUAGACACCUGAAGGGUUAGGUCUACGUAGAGAACACAUCGAGCAAGCCCUUUGAUGGGCAGCUUUUUGUACAGAGCCGGGGUGUUGGUAGCACCCUGG